UGCGUAGGCGGCUAUUUAAGUUUGGUGUGAAAUCUCCCGGCUCAACCGGGAGGGUGCGCCGAAUACUGAGUGGCUAGAGUGCGGGAGAGGAAAGUGGAAUUCCUGGUGUAGCGGUGAAAUGCGUAGAUAUCAGGAGGAACACCGGUGGUGUAAACGGCUUUCUGGACCGUAACUGACGCUGAGGCACGAAAGCGUGGGUAGCAAACA
rnacentral:rRNA from 1 species